CGGCCGCCAUGGCGGCCGCGGGAAUUCGAUUGGAAACAGGUGCUAAUACCGGAUAAGAAAGCAGAUCGCAUGAUCAGCUUUUAAAAGGCGGCGUAAGCUGUCGCUAUGGGAUGGCCCCGCGGUGCAUUAGCUAGUCGGUAAGGUAAAGGCUUACCAAGGCGAUGAUGCAUAGCCGAGUUGAGAGACUGAUCGGCCACAUUGGGACUGAGACACGGCCCAAACUCCUACGGGAGGCAGCAGUAGGGAAUCUUCCACAAUGGACGCAAGUCUGAUGGAGCAACGCCGCGUGAGUGAAGAAGGGUUUCGGCUCGCAAAGCUCUGUUGGUAGUGAAGAAAGAUAGAGGUAGUAACUGGCCUUUAUUUGACGGUAAUUACUUAGAAAGUCACGGCUAACUACGUGCCAGCAGCCGCGGUAAUACGAUAAUCACUAGUGAAUUCGCGGCCGCCUGCAGGUCGACCAUAUGG
rnacentral:rRNA from 1 species